UAAGGAAUAUUGCACAAUGGGGGAAACCCUGAUGCAGCAACGCCGCGUGAGUGAUGAGGGCCUUCGGGUUGUAAAACUCUUUUCUGAGGGAUGAGGAAGGACAGUACCUUAGGAAUAAGUCUCGGCUAACUACGUGCCAGCAGCCGCGGUAAAACGUAGGAGGCGAGCGUUAUCCGGAUUUACUGGGCGUAAAGGGCAAGUAGGCGGUGGUCAAAGUUGGGCGUGACAGAUCCUGGCUUAACUGGGAGAGGUCGUACAAAACUAGAUCACUAGAGGGCAGGAGAGGGGAGCGGAAUUCCUAGUGUAGCGGUGGAAUGCUCAGAUAUUAGGAAGAACACCAGUGGCGAAAGCGGCUUUCUGGCCUGCACCUGACGCUAAGGGGCGAAAGCUAGGGGAGCGAACGG
rnacentral:rRNA from 1 species